UGUAAAAGACGAGGAUUUUAGUUUGACUCCGUCCGACCGACUAGGUUUCCUACAAUCAAUUCUAAACCAGCUCCCCAAUUCUCAGGAAAGCAGAAGUAACUAUAAAAACUUUAAAGAAAGUGAAAAACUUGUGAAAAUGAUGCGAACGAGGUUUUUGUGGUUUGGUGUAGGUUUCUGGAGCAAUUGCACAAUUUGUGGUUAAGGAUUUGUGGACGGACCGCACCUCCCUUUUUGACCAGUUGACAGAAAAGUUCAAUUCCUUGGAUACGCGACUGUCUAAUCUGGAGUCUCUGAUUUCCAAUAAACCUACUUCCCCUCAGGAUGAAGGAAAUCUUGAAUGAAGAUUCUGGUUUCUUGCUGCAUGAUCAUACUCAUGUUCUAGUUUCUUCUCUUCCUUUUGAAGAUUGGACAAGCAAUAAAUACGCAUUUGCAUUACUUUUUUCAUCAGGAAGAUCGUUUGGUAUGAGGCAAAACUUUUUGCGGCUACUCAUAGUCGUACUCACUUUGUCACAUACAUUGCGCUCGCAAUGUCAUUUACUUUGUUAUUUGGAUCAUUCUCGAGUCCUCAGGAGAUGGGCUACCCACUCAAAAUAACAUUAGAGUCAAGAAAACAUGUGAUAUUCAAUGCUGCAUAAUAUGGUUAUUGUGCCAACUGCCGAGGAUCUGAAUACGAUCAUUGAGAACAAAUUAAUUUAACUAUUUUGACUGAAAUUGCUACAUAUUUCAAAAGUGCAACUAUGUGCUACAGAGUGUAAGUGCAACUUUCCCAUCUCCGAGACAUUGUCAUUCACAUGAUCUGAAUAAUUGCAUUCCACCGGCUGGCCAUACAAGGAGUUUGCCAGAGGCCAUUCUGCAAUUAUAGGAGCAGUACUUACACUUCAAGGAGCAUACACGAAUUAGCCAAAAGAAGAGGAUGUAAAUGGUACUGCUCAUAACACGAUGCUUUGUUGGUGCGAUUACUGCUCCUCUUGAGGCAACCAACUCUUACUAAAAGAAGUAUUCCAUAUCCUAGACCGCAUAGGAGCCAUAUUUGUGCAACAGCAUACCCAGGUAUGCCUGUAAAUACUGUUGACUGCACUAGAGAACAAAUACCAUAGAAUGCUGUCGGUUUUUAUUUUUUGUUAAAAUGGAAGGGGCGAGAGCAAUACAUUAAAAGGUCAUUUGUAACAUUAUAUCCUCCUCUGUAUUUCUUUAAUAAAUUUAAAGGCUCUAACACUUAACAGUUGAGGUCAUGUUUGAUCCUGUUAAAACUCGCCGUGAAAAAGGUUGAAAUCCUUCUGAUCAUAUUUCCUUCAGCUAAUCUAUGCACUAAAGGUACAGAGCUUUCAAAGUUUAUAAUCAGAGGUUGAAAGAUUCUAAAGUAGAGAAUCAAAGGAAGAGAUUAAUUACCUUCUUCAGAACUGGUACAAGGCAAGCAUCCUAUGAAUCACAUGCUUUGCCAUCCUUGUUCCACGAAAGGUUCCUAUUUCUUCUGUCAAUAAUAGUUAUUAUUGAUUUUCUAUUUAUUUUUGUUAGUUGUUUGGAUUAGAAAUUAAAGGAUUCUUGCCUCGCCAAUUUAGAGCAUGAGAAAUAUAGCAAUGCUAAACCAUACGGCUUACACUACGUAUGUCGUAUUAUGCUCAGGUUUGUCCAUGUGCAGACACAUCACGCUUCUGUUAUGUGCAGUUAUUACUCAAGGAAGUAAAUUUUGGGGAUAAGCUAACUGGAUCUUGGCCGUUUACUGUGUGGUAGGAGGACUGGGUGUUGAAAGGAUUAGAUGCUCAUGCAUGCCUUUUAUCAUUUUUGUCGAUGCAUCUCUAGACACCGGUUUUAAUAAAUGUAAAAGAAAGUGGAUUAAAAAAUAUAUUUGUGAAAUGUGUGUCCUACUUUUAUAUAUUA